AGAGGGAGCUUGCUUCCUUGAUCGAGUGGCGAACGGGUGAGUAACGCGUGAGGAACCUGCCUCAAAGAGGGGGACAACAGUUGGAAACGGCUGCUAAUACCGCAUAAGCGCACAGCUUCGCAUGAAGCAGUGUGAAAAACUCCGGUGGUACAAGAUGGACCCGCGUCUGAUUAGCUGGUUGGUGAGGUAACGGCCCACCAAGUCGACGAUCGGUAGCCGGACUGAGAGGUUGAACGGCCACAUUGGGACUGAGACACGGCCCAGACUCC
rnacentral:rRNA from 1 species